UUUCCGUAGGUGAACCUGCGGAAGGAUUAUUACUGAGUGAGGGCCCUCUGGGUCCAACCUCCCACCCGUGUUUAUUAUACCUUGUUGCUUCGGUGAGCCCGCCUCACGGCCGCCGGGGGGCAUCUGCCCCCGGGCCCGCGCCCACCGAAGACACCUAGAACUCUGUAUGAAGAUUGCAGUCUGAGCAAAAACUAAAUAAGUUAAAACUUUCAACAACGGAUCUCUUGGUUCCG
rnacentral:misc_RNA from 1 species